rnacentral:rRNA from 1 species
UACGGAGGGUGCAAGCGUUGUUCGGAAUUACUGGGCGUAAAGCGCGUGUAGGCGGUCUCCUCAGUCCGAUGUGAAAGCCCGGGGCUCACCCUCGGAAGUGCAUCGGAUACUGGGAGACUCGAGUACCGGAGAGGAGGGUGGAAUUCCUGGUGUAGCGGUGAAAUGCGUAGAUAUCAGGAGGAACACCGGUGGCGAAGGCGGCCCUCUGGACGGAUACUGACGCUGAGACGCGAAAGCGUGGGGAGCAAACAGG